ACUUUAACACUGAGGCGUGAUGACGAGGCACUACGGUGCUGAAGCAACAAAUGCCCUGCUUCCAGGAAAAGCCUCUAAGCAUCAGGUAACAUCAAAUCGUACCCCAAACCGACACAGGUGGUCAGGUAGAGAAUACCAAGGCGCUUGAGAGAACUCGGGUGAAGGAACUAGGCAAAAUGGUGCCGUAACUUCGGGAGAAGGCACGCUGACACGUAGGUGAAGUGAUUUACUCACGGAGCUGAAGUCAGUCGAAGAUACCAGCUGGCUGCAACUGUUUAUUAAAAACACAGCACUGUGCAAACACGAAAGUGGACGUAUACGGUGUGACGCCUGCCCGGUGCCGGAAGGUUAAUUGAUGGGGUCAGCGCAAGCGAAGCUCCUGAUCGAA
rnacentral:rRNA from 1 species